rnacentral:lncRNA from 1 species
GGGACGGUACUGGGAUAUUGCUGGGUUACCGCGCUCCCCGUGACCCAGCCACCUCCCUACCGAAGCUGGCGGACUUCGUCUCUGCGGCACUGUUGGAGUCCCUAAGACUUCUGGUCCUGGGUGACUUCAACAUCCAUGCGGAGGUGGAGGUAUCCGGUCCAGCUCUUGAGUUCUUGGAAACCAUGGCUUUCUUGAACUUGUACCAACAUGUUAACGGUCCCACACACAUGGGCUGCUAUAUGCUCGACCUAGUCUUUUCUACUGAGUGUAGUGAGCGUGGUCUGGUGGUGACUGACCUCAUGUCAGUCCCCUUGUCAUGGUCGGACCAUCACCUGAUAAAAUGUACCCUCGUAAUGGAGCUCCCCACCUGCAGGGAGCAGGGACUUAUUUUAAUGGUUCGCCCUCAAAGGUUACUGGAUCCCAUGAGAUUCCAGGACACCAUGAGAGGGUUCCCAGCGGCACUGUCUGGCGCUCCUGUCGAAGCUCUGGUGGACGGCUGGUUCUCCACCGCUACUAGGGCUGCUGACACGAUCACACCCAAACGCCCUCUCAGGAGCAGAGCUCGACCAGGACCCUGGUAUACCCAGGAUCUACGAGCAAUGAAGCGAAUAAGGAGACGGCUAGAGAGCGUGUGGAGAAGGAAACCAGCUCUUGAGUUCUUGGAGACCAUGGCCUUCUUGAACAUGUCCCAACAUGUCAUCGGCCCCACCCACGUGGGUGGCCACACACUUGACCUGUUUUUUUCCACCAACUGGAGUGAGAGUGCUCCGAUAGUGACUGACCUUGUGUCGGUCCCUCUGUCAUGGUCGGAUCACCACCUAAUAAAAUGUAAUCUCAACAUGGCCCUCCCCCCUCGCAGGGAGCAGGGACCUAUUGUUAUGGUCUGCCUUCGAAGGUUACUGGAUCCGACUGGAUUCCAGGAUGCCAUGAGAGGUGCUAUGACUGAUCUGGCUGGCGCUCCUGUCGAGGCUCUGAGCAGCAUCUGGUUUUCUGCGGCGGCCAGGGUUGUAAACAUGAUCG